UGGCGUCGAUGACGCAGGGGGUCCACCCGUUCCCAUACCGAACACGGAAGUUAAGCCCUGUAGUGCCGAAGAUAGUUGACUGGCGACGGUCUGUGAAAAUAGGAAGAUGC
rnacentral:rRNA from 1 species